rnacentral:rRNA from 1 species
CUCCACGGCCAUACCACCCUGAACGCGCCCGAUCUCAUCUGGUCUCAGAAGCUAAGCAGGGUCGGGCCUGGUUAGUACUUGGAUGGGAGAAGGCUGAGGCAGGAGGCUCCUUGGGAGU